UGGGUAAAAGCCUGUGAGCCUAAGAGC
rnacentral:piRNA from 1 species